rnacentral:rRNA from 1 species
CGAGGGUGCAAGCGUUAAUCGGAAUUACUGGGCGUAAAGCGAGUGUAGGCGGCUACGUAAGUCGGAUGUGAAAGCCCUGGGCUCAACCUGGGAAUUGCAUUCGAUACUGCGUAGCUAGAGUUUGAUAGAGGUAAGUGGAAUUCCGGGUGUAGCGGUGAAAUGCGUAGAUAUCCGGAGGAACAUCAGUGGCGAAGGCGGCUUACUGGAUCAAAACUGACGCUGAGGCUCGAAAGCGUGGGGAGCAAACAGGAUUAGAUACCCGGGUAGUCC